UCCCUGGUGGCUCAGAUGGUAAAGCAUCUGCCUGCAAUGCAAGAGACCUGGGUUUGAUCCCUGGUUAGGGAA
rnacentral:tRNA from 1 species